rnacentral:rRNA from 1 species
UACGUAGGGCUCGAGCGUUGUCCGGAUUUAUUGGGCGUAAAGAGCAUGUAGGUGGUUUCUCAAGUCGAAUUUCAAAGUCCGAGGCUUAACUUCGGUUCUGGAUUCGAUACUAGGAAGCUUUGAGAAUAGUAGGGGCAAGCGGAACUCCCGGUGUAGCAGUGAAAUGCGUUGAUAUCGGGAAGAACACCAAUGGCGAAGGCAGCUUGCUAGGCUAUUCUGACACUGAGAUGCGAAAGCGUGGGGAGCGAACGGG